GGGCGGUUAGCUCAGUUGGCAGAGCACGUGUUUGACGUACACGGGGUCAGAGGUUCAAGUCCUCUACCGCCCACCA
rnacentral:tRNA from 1 species